rnacentral:rRNA from 1 species
UAGGGAAUCUUGGACAAUGGAGGAAACUCUGAUCCAGCCAUGCCGCGUGAGUGAUGAAGGCCUUCGGGUUGUAAAACUCUUUCGACGGGGACGAUAAUGACGGUACCCGUAGAAGAAGCUCCGGCUAACUUCGUGCCAGCAGCCGCGGUAAUACGAAGGGGGCUAGCGUUGUUCGGAAUUACUGGGCGUAAAGCGCGCGCAGGCGGCCGUGCAAGUCGGGGGUGAAAUCCCAGAGCUCAACUCUGGAAUUGCCUUCGAGACUGCUUGGCUUCGAGUACGGGAGAGGUGAGUGGAAUUCCCAGUGUAGAGGUGAAAUUCGUAGAUAUUGGGAAGAACACCAGUGGCGAAGGCGGCUCACUGGCCCGUUACUGACGCUCAUGCGCGACAGCGUGGGGAUCAAACAG